CUGCCUGGCACCGCGGCCACACUCCCGCCAGGCCCUCACACCUAUACACAGGAGCUCAUGCACUCACCCUCAUGUGCGCCUGCAUGCAUGGACGUACGUGCACAUAUGCGCACACACGCAUGCAGAGUUCCAGGAAGGAGAAAGAAAUAGAGAAACGGGUGAAUGCUGUGUGAAGAUAGCUAUCCUGGAGGCCUGCUGGAUUCCUUUAGUGGAAAAUAGGAAGACUUACCAGUUGACCUGGCGCUACUGUCUACACCGACUUCCAGUUCAGAAAAAGCAAAUUCUCAGAAGACUCUCAGGAAGUAGUGUUAGACCCAUGACAUUGACCGCCAUGUAGUUCAGGGGCCCAGAGCCAAGGUACAUCAGAGGACAAGCCAAGGCACAGAUGAAUUCUCUCCAUCAGAGAUACACAGCCAGUGAAUGUCAGCACUGAGCUCCAUGUUCUCAUUUCAAAGCUGCACAGUUGCUCUUGAAUUCACUCCAUUCUUCCUGCCACCUUUGAGAAGUCCCACUGCUGUCUUUUGGGUAAUACCUUGAUUCCAGUAUCUGUCUACAGGACCCGUUUCAUGUGGAAGGAUGCAGUGUCUGUAAGUGAACACCACCUCUGGGACA
rnacentral:lncRNA from 1 species